rnacentral:rRNA from 1 species
UACGAAGGGUGCAAGCGUUGUUCGGAUUUAUUGGGCGUAAAGCGCGCGUAGGCGGACCUGCGAGUCAGAUGUGAAAUCUCGGGGCUCAACCCCGAAACUGCGUCUGAAACUACAGGUCUAGAAUCUUGGAGGGGGAAGGGGAAUUUCGCAUGUAGGGGUAAAAUCCGUAGAUAUGCGAAGGAACACCAGAGGCGAAGGCGCCUUCCUGGACAAGUAUUGACGCUGAUGAGCGAAAGCCAGGGGAGCAAACGGG